UACGGAAGGUCCAGGCGUUAUCCGGAUUUAUUGGGUUUAAAGGGAGCGUAGGCUGGAGAUUAAGUGUGUUGUGAAAUGUAGACGCUCAACGUCUGAAUUGCAGCGCAUACUGGUUUCCUUGAGUACGCACAACGUUGGCGGAAUUCGUCGUGUAGCGGUGAAAUGCUUAGAUAUGACGAAGAACUCCGAUUGCGAAGGCAGCUGACGGGAGCGCAACUGACGCUUAAGCUCGAAGGUGCGGGUAUCAAACAGG
rnacentral:ncRNA from 4 species